rnacentral:rRNA from 1 species
AGAGUUUGAUCCUGGCUCAGGACGAACGCUGGCGGCGUGCCUAAAACAUGCAAGUCGAACGAGGUCCAUCCAGUGGCAACACUGGGGAAGACCUAGUGGCGAACGGGUGAGUAACACGUGAGGAACCUGCCCCGAAGACCGGGAUAACCCUCCGAAAGGAGAGCUAAUACCGGAUGUCCCCACCGGAUCGCAUGGACCGGUGAGGAAAUGGAUUCCGCUUCGGGAGGGUCUCGCGGCCUAUCAGCCUGUUGGUGGGGUAACGGCCUACCAAGGCAUCGACGGGUAGCUGGUCUGAGAGGACGAUCAGCCACACUGGGACUGAGACACGGCCCAGACUCCUACGGGAGGCAGCAGUUAGGAAUCUUGCGCAAUGGGCGAAAGCCUGACGCAGCAACGCCGCGUGGGGGACGAAGGCUCUCGGGUUGUAAACCCCUUUCAGUAGGGACGAAUCAAGACGGUACCUACAGAAGAAGCCCCGGCCAACUACGUGCCAGCAGCCGCGGUAACACGUAGGGGGCAAGCGUUGUCCGGAUUUAUUGGGCGUAAAGAGCUCGUAGGCGGUUCGGUAAGUCAGGUGUGAAACCUCCAGGCUCAACCUGGAGACGCCACCUGAUACUGCUGUGACUCGAGUCCGGUAGGGGAGCGUGGAAUUCCUGGUGUAGCGGUGAAAUGCGCAGAUAUCAGGAGGAACACCAGCGGCGAAGGCGGCGCUCUGGGCCGGAACUGACGCUGAGGAGCGAAAGCGUGGGUAGCAAACAGGAUUAGAUACCCUGGUAGUCCACGCCGUAAACGUUGGGCACUAGGUGUGGGGUCUUAUCAACGGAUUCCGUGCCGUAGCUAACGCAUUAAGUGCCCCGCCUGGGGAGUACGGCCGCAAGGCUAAAACUCAAGGAAUUGACGGGGGCCCGCACAAGCGGCGGAGCAUGUUGCUUAAUUCGAGGCGACGCGAAGAACCUUACCUGGG